rnacentral:miRNA from 1 species
CCCGUUCGGACGUUUCGGUUU